CAUGCAAGUCGAGGGGCAGCAUGAUUUGUAGCAAUACAGAUUGAUGGCGACCGGCGCACGGGUGAGUAACGCGUAUGCAACUUACCUAUCAGAGGGGGAUAGCCCGGCGAAAGUCGGAUUAAUACCCCAUAAAACAGGGGUCCCGCAUGGGAAUAUUUGUUAAAGAUUCAUCGCUGAUAGAUAGGCAUGCGUUCCAUUAGGCAGUUGGCGGGGUAACGGCCCACCAAACCGACGAUGGAUAGGGGUUCUGAGAGGAAGGUCCCCCGCAUUGGUACUGAGACACGGACCAAACUCCUACGGGAGGCAGCAGUGAGGAAUAUUGGUCAAUGGCCGAGAGGCUGAACCAGCCAAGUCGCGUGAAGGAAGAAGGAUCUAUGGUUUGUAAACUUCUUUUAUAGGGGAAUAAAGUGGAGGACGUGUCCUUUUUUGUAUGUACCCUAUGAAUAAGCAUCGGCUAACUCCGUGCCAGCAGCCGCGGUAAUACGGAGGAUGCGAGCGUUAUCCGGAUUUAUUGGGUUUAAAGGGUGCGUAGGUGGUGAUUUAAGUCAGCGGUGAAAGUUUGUGGCUCAACCAUAAAAUUGCCGUUGAAACUGGGUUACUUGAGUGUGUUUGAGGUAGGCGGAAUGCGUGGUGUAGCGGUGAAAUGCAUAGAUAUCACGCAGAACUCCGAUUGCGAAGGCAGCUUACUAAACCAUAACUGACACUGAAGCACGAAAGCGUGGGGAUCAAACAGGAUUAGAUACCCUGGUAGUCCACGCAGUAAACGAUGAUUACUAGGAGUUUGCGAUACAAUGUAAGCUCUACAGCGAAAGCGUUAAGUAAUCCACCUGGGGAGUACGCCGGCAACGGUGAAACUCAAAGGAAUUGACGGGGG
rnacentral:rRNA from 1 species